AGGCGGGGUGGGGGUGAGCAAAGGAGAGAGAGGGAGAGAAGAGAGCCUGGAAAAGCAGCACACCAAAAAGGGGUCUCACAUUUACCGUGAGCCAGUGGGGCCAGAUAUUUAAAAAGAGAAAACCAUAGUGCCUUCCCUCAGGAUGCCUGCACUCUGCUAAAGCUCAGCCUGCCCCCACAGAAAACAGAAGUGUCAGCAGAGGACUGUAAGUGCUAUGUGAUUGGACUAUGGUGGCCAUGGAAUUUCACCUGCCCGGCACAUAUUCUCUCAUCCUCUCCUCCUCUGCCUUGUUUGGGAGGGAGAAAUCAGAAGGAGUGGGAA